rnacentral:rRNA from 1 species
UACGUAGGGGGCAAGCGUUGUCUGGAAUCAUUGGGCGUAAAGAGCGUGUAGGCGGCCCGGUAAGUCCGCUGUGAAAGUCCAGGGCUCAACCCUGGGAUGCCGGUGGAUACUGUCGGGCUCGAGUACGGAAGAGGCGAGUGGAAUUCCUGGUGUAGCGGUGGAAUGCGCAGAUAUCAGGAGGAACACCAAUAGCGAAGGCAGCUCGCUGGGACGUUACUGACACUAAGGCGCGAAAGCGUGGGGAGCGAACAGG